rnacentral:rRNA from 1 species
CAAGAAAUUAAGGGUUUAUGGGGAAUACCUUGGCAUUCAGAAGCGAAGAAGGACGUGGUUACCGACGAAACGCUUCGGGGAGCUGGAAACAAGCUACGAUCCGGAGGUGUCCGAAUAAGGCAACUUAAUUACUACUUAUUGAAUAUAUAGAUAAGUAAGAGCGAACCUAGAGAACUGAAACAUCUUAUGUAACUAGAGGAAAAGAAAGUAAAAACGAUUUCCUUAGUAGCGGCGAGCGAACCGGAAACAGCCUAAACUUAUUUUUAAGGGUAGUGGGACAGUCAUAACGAGAUUAGUGACGAUUAGAAGAAUGAAUUGGAAAAUUCAACCAUAGAGAGUGAUAGUCUCGUAUUCGAAAAUUGAAACACUCAGAUUGUAUCCCGAGUAGCAUGGAGCACGUGAAAUUCCGUGUGAAUCUGCGAGGACCACCUCGUAAGGCUAAAUAUUCCUGAAUGACCGAUAGUGAAAUAGUACCGUGAGGGAAAGGUGAAAAGCACCCCGACGAGGGGAGUGAAAUAGACCUGAAACCGGACACCUACAAACAGAUGGAGCCCAAGAUACGUUCUGGGUGACAUCGUACCUUUUGUAUUAUGGGCCAGCGACUUAAUUUAACGAGCAAGCUUAAGCCGAUAGGCGAAGGCGCAGCGAAAGCGAGUCUGAAUAGGGCGAAUAAGUACGUCGCAUGACGACCCGAAACCAGGUGAUCUAUCCAUGAGCAGGUUGAAGGUAAGGUAACACUUACUGGAGGACCGAACCCGUGAAUGUUGAAAAAUUCUGGGAUGACUUGUGGAUAGGGGUGAAAGGCCAAUCAAACCUGGACAUAGCUGGUUCUCCGCGAAAACUAUUUAGGUAGUGCGUCGGACGAAUUCCUUGGGGGGUAGAGCACUGGAUGGAUGCGGGGGUCGCGAGAUCUACCAAUUCUAACCAAACUCCGAAUACCCAAGAGAACUAUCCGGCAGACACACGGCGGGUGCUAACGUCCGUCGUGGAGAGGGAAACAACCCGGACCUACAGCUAAGGCCCCUAAUUCGUGGCUAAGUGGGAAAGGAUGUGGAAAUCCCAAAACAACCAGGAGGUUGGCUUAGAAGCAGCCAUCCUUUAAAGAUAGCGUAACAGCUCACUGGUCAAGCGAUCCUGCGCGGAAAAUGUAACGGGGCUAAAGCCAUUCACCGAAGGUAUGGGUGUGCGCAAGCACGCGGUAGCGGAGCGUUCCGUAAGCCUGUGAAGGUCAGCUGCGAGGCUGGCUGGAGGUAUCGGAAGUGAGAAUGCUGACAUGAGUAGCGACAAAGAGUGUGAGAGACACUCUCGCCGAAAGUCCAAGGGUUCCUGCGUAAAGUUAAUCUUCGCAGGGUUAGCCGACCCCUAAGGCGAGGCCGAAAGGCGUAGUCGAUGGGAAUCAGGUGAAUAUUCCUGAGCCAGUUGGAAGUGACGAAUGCCGUAAAUUGUGAGGGCUUAUUGGAUUGUUCCUUGCAGUGAAGGGGUUCCUGGAAAUAACUCCAACGGAGACCGUACCCGAAACCGACACAGGUGGACUGGUAGAGUAUACCAAGGCGCUUGAGAGAACUAUGUUGAAGGAACUCGGCAAUUUACCUCCGUAACUUCGGGAUAAGGAGGCCCAUUGCAUGCGCAAGCAUGCAGUGGGGGCACAGACCAGGGGGUGGCAACUGUUUAACAAAAACACAGGGCUCUGCGAAAUCGCAAGAUGACGUAUAGGGUCUGACGCCUGCCCGGUGCCGGAAGGUUAAAAGGAGGGGUGCAAGCUCCGAAUUGAAGCCCCGGUAAACGGCGGCCGUAACAAUAACGGUCCUAAGGUAGCGAAAUUCCUUGUCGGGUAAGUUCCGACCCGCACGAAAGGCGUAAUGAUUUGGAUACUGUCUCGGAGAGAGGCUCGGUGAAAUAGACUUGUCUGUGAAGAUGCGGACUACCUGCACCAGGACAGAAAGACCCUAUGAAGCUUUACUGUAACUUGAAAUUGGAAUUGGACUUUACUUGCGCAGUAUAGGUGGGAAGCGUUGAAAAUAUUCUUGCGGGAAUAUUAGAGCUAUCAGUGAGAUACCACUCUUGUAAUGUUAGAUUUCUAACUUUUAACCAUUAUCUGGUAAAAGAACAGUUUCAGGUGGGCAGUUUGACUGGGGCGGUAGCCUCCCAAAUGGUAACGGA